CGCCGCGUGAGGGAUGACGGCCUUCGGGUUGUAAACCUCUUUUGGUAGGGAAGAAGCCUUCGGGUGACGGUACCUGCAGAAAAAGCGCCGGCUAACUACGUGCCAGCAGCCGCGGUAAUACGUAGGGCGCAAGCGUUAUCCGGAAUUAUUGGGCGUAAAGAGCUCGUAGGCGGUCUGUCGCGUCUGCUGUGAAAUUCCGAGGCUCAACCUCGGGCUUGCAGUGGGUACGGGCAGACUAGAGUGCGGUAGGGGAGAUUGGAAUUCCUGGUGUAGCGGUGGAAUGCGCAGAUAUCAGGAGGAACACCGAUGGCGAAGGCAGAUCUCUGGGCCGUUACUGACGCUGAGGAGCGAAAGGGUGGGGAGCAAACAGGCUUAGAUACCCUGGUAGUCCACCCCGUAAACGUUGGGAACUAGUUGUGGGGUCCUUUCCACGGAUUCCGUGACGUAGCUAACGCAUUAAGUUCCCCGCCUGGGGAGUACGGCCGCAAGGCUAAAACUCA
rnacentral:rRNA from 1 species